UUCAUAAUUAGUAUCAGUUCUUUCGCGAAUGAAACGUUUCCACAAACGGUUUUUCUGACGAAUAGCUUUGCGCCAUUGUUCAUUCAUAAAGGGAACUUGAUUUCCCCUUAUGCGGACCUGUUUCAAAGGUGCAUGCUCACCAAGAAUGUCUUCGUAUAGACAAUCAAACACGUAGAGCUUAUCGUCAACGUCGUCAAAUAUUUCAGCUACUUGGAAAGGAACAUUAUGCAAAUCAUGUAGAAAAUGCUGUUUAUCAAAAUUUUUAAGGCUUCUGAAUUGUAUUUUCCGAGAUCGUAUUCUCGGUUCCGAUGCCCUGAGCAUGGCAAACACAAGAGAGUGAUCACUUAUAUUAACAUGGACUACGCCCGAUGACUGUAUUUUUCUCAAGUUGUCAGUGAGAAAAAGGUCCAGUAGGGUUUCUGAUGUCUUGGUAAUACGGGUGGCUUCAUGUAUUAAAUUCUUCAAGUCGUAAAUAUCAAGUAGGUUUGCCAUAACUCUACCAUCCCUUGGCGGCUUGUCUGGUAGUAACAUAUCCGAGUUAAAGUCGCCUACGAAAAAGCAGUUACCAGGAAGUAUUGUGAUCGCCUCAAGUAUUGAAGAUAGUUCAAAUUUCCAUAGCGAUUGUGGGAUAGACGCAGAUGUUGGAGGUCUAUAGAAACCGACGAUGGUUUCCCACUUCUUAGCUAUCCUCACCUUCAGCACAAUCGAUUCAGUCUUGUACCGUUCACGCUCACAUAAUCGAAGAUUGGGAAGGUCUUUAAUGACUUUAAAGCAGAGGUCUGCGCGGAUAUAGACCAAUAAACCACCGCCAUGUAUGUUUCUGUCAGCCCUACACAUUCGAUAUCCGGUGACCAUAAAUUGACUAUCUGGAAAACUGGAAUCCAGCUUCGUUUCAGAAAGUACUAAAAUAUCAAACUUUCCUUCUAAUAGCCAAUACUUGACCUCAAAGAAUUUAAAACCUGCAAUAUGGUCCACAUUAACAUGUCCGAUUUUAAUGUUGGUCCAAUGUUUCUUAAUCAAGGCAUCAUAUUCACUCCAUGUUUCAUCGUCGGAACAUGAUCCAGUAGAACUGUUGGUACUUGUGCUGGAGUUCAAACUCGAGUCCGCAAAAGGUAAUUGGCGAAGAGCCUCCAUACAUGACUCGCAAGUGUGCGAUGUACUGCCAGACGACUGCAAAAUUAGAUAUUGCUUAGGGGUCACACCGCCGCAUUUAAUGUGAGACCACAACGAGCAGCAGUCGCAUAUGGUUGCACGGUGAUUUCUAGCAAUCGUCCGAUCACACUCCUUGCAUUUUUUACGAGAACUGUCAUGGCGGACGGCUGAUUUACAAGUCGAGUUACAUUGUCUGUGAGGUCCUGGAUGAGGAUGAAUGUCUCCACUUCUAACCACAGAAAGAGCAACCGGGUUGAAGGAAGCUGUACAGUUCGAAUAGUACGCCACUCUUGACUUCUGAAACUUCUUGUGAGGUGAGGUGACAAAAUGGCCGCCGAUCCGUGACAUAUGCCUUGGCGAAAUUAGAUUGAAAUCGACCGAGUAUGAGUUGAAAUACUUGAAAAAUUUAUCCCCGUAAUGCACUUGAACAUUCUUCGAGAGCUUGAGAGAGUAUAAGUUGACAGAGAACAAAGCUAACAGCGAAAAACUUAAUAAAAUUACGGACAAGCUCGAAACACGUCUGACCGCCAUAACCACCGCUGACGCUCAUAAGUAACCGAGUAACGGUACGGAAAGAGCCUUGCGGAAAGUGAUGAAUGAUGUUCUUCUUAACAUGAACUCUCAGCAAGUCUCACUUAAGGUGUUCCCAAAGAAGUUCAGAGAGGACUCAGUGAACAGAGUUUUACUACACCAACCCCUAUACAGACUCUCUCCCUUCCACCUGCAAUAUUCCACUACAGGGACAUCAUUGGUGCAGCAGAAACAGCAUUCUAUAUCUUCCUAUAGUUGGUUGAUGGAACAUUAUUUAUACAAAAAUGUGCAUUACAAUAAGAUUGUCAAGAUAAGUCCCUUCAGGUUGGUUCAGGUAAAACACAAGCCUUUGGGAUUCUAAUUCUCACCCACAUCCUUGGCCACAAGUCCAGUCAAGAAGCAGGUGAAACUACAAAAAAUACUACCAAAAAUAAUGCUACAAAAGCCACAGAAACUGGUAAUGGAACAUCCAAGCUCAAGAAACCACUCCUGGCAUUGAUAAUGACACCAACCAGAGAAUUGGCUAUACAAAUAAAAAAUCAUCUUAAACAGGCUGCAAAACACACAUCCUUAGAGAUUGUUGCUGUGGUUGGAGGAAUGGCACCUCAAGAACAACAGAGGCUUUUAAACAAGUAUCCUGAGGUAAUAGUAGCCACCCCGGGAAUACUGUGGGAUUUGAUUUCCGAGGGUGAAGAGCAUGUCUGCCGUUUGGAGCACUUGAGAUAUCUUGUGAUUGACGAGGCAAACAGAAUGGUGGAGCAAGGCCACUUUCAAGAAUUAUCUUCAAUAUUGGAGCUCAUUCAUAGAAAGAGUGAUUAUGAUGAAGAUGAGGGAACUGCAAAGCGAAGACAUCUACAGAAGUUUAUUUUCUCUGCAACUUUAACUCUUCCAAAGUCGUUUAAGAGGAAAGGAAAAGAAAAGAAGAUCACAAGUGAAGAAGGCUUUGUGUCACUGAUGGACAAAGUUGGGCUGCAGAAGAACAGUUGUAAAAUUAUCGAUGUCACCAACAAGAGAGGAACCGUAGAAACCCUGACAGAAGCAAAGAUCUCAUGUGUAAUUGAAGAGAAGCAAAGUGCGAGUGGCUUACUUCUGGCUACAGAUGUGGCCGCGAGAGGUUUGGACAUACCAGCUGUUGAGCAUGUGAUUCACUAUCAAGUUCCGAAGGACCUUGAUCUUUACAUUCACCGCAGUAGACGGACAGCUAGAGCAAGCAGGGAGGGUCUGAGUGUCGUUCUUGUUGGCCCAGAAGAAAUGGGAUCAUACAAGAAAAUUAUGAAGGCGCUUAAUGGAGGUGGAUAGUUCAGGCGAUGAAGAACCCACUUCGAGAUUCUGCUGCAAGUACAAAAAGGAGAACAAGCGUGUUCGGCAUGAUGACAACUGUGACAAGACUACAGGCAAAAUACCUCAUGAGAAAACCGCUGUGGUUUAGAAAGUAAACUUGACGCUCAUUGAUUCGCCAGUCAAAAGGGUGUGUGUGGAUAUUGAGACGAGCGACAGCGAUGAGUGCCUUUUCAAACCAGUCUUUGCAUCAGAAAAAAAUGUGGCUGAAAAGGUAAAUAAGAAAGUGCUGACACACCAGUUGAACGACUCCAGCGGUAGCAGUGAAGACGAACAAGGAACUGAUUACUUGAACGACGACCCAAUGUUUCCCAUCUACCGACAGGGAUUGCUUACGGGUUUGGCUUCCAGGAAAGUGGUAGAUAUCCUCUUCCAUCCGCCUCGAGAACUUAUUGCACGUGCUGUUCCUUCCGCUGUCUCCGAAAAUUCUGUCUUUGUGGUGGAAAUAUCUGCCCCACACAUAAAGCACUUUAAAAAUGUUCUGGCGACGACCUUGGUGCAUGGAAUCCAACUGGAACGAAACAGCGAUGUAUUAUAGUAUCAUAUACUAUAUAGUAUAUAGUAUGAUACUACCGUGCUUCCAACAAGAGGAAUCCUGUUCGUAAGCCUUCCCAAUCAGAAUAUGAUGAUCAUGAGGCACAGGUCUAUAAAUGUACGAGAAGCUUCUACAGGAAUGAAUCCUCCCCCGAUUUGCAAAGGAUUUUCAUUUAUCUGACAGAUUCCAACGGAACGAUUCACAGUUUUGCUCUUUUGCAAUAUGUUUUUGAUGAUAAUGAACACGAAGUUAAAGUUAAACCACAUGGAAAUUCUAAAAGUCUUUCCAAAGAGUAUUACCGCACUUCGCAUACUACCAUGGAGCGGUUAAAAGAGCUCGCGAAAUCUGACCCUCCCAAGACGGUGUUUUUCAAGAGUAUCGAAGAAAAGGGAACAAUUUUAAACUUUAUAAACGCAGCUAGCCAUGCCAGAAAUUUACAACAGAUAAAGAACAUUAAAAAAACCAUGGAAGAGCAACCUGGGGAUUCUACACUCGAGCUGAUAGACAUGCGAAGCAAGGAAACAGAGACAAAGAGAACGCCUUCGUCCGUAAAGUAGAGACCUCGUCAGAUCCUUGUGUUGUCCUAACCACUGACCAGCAACUUAAGGACGUGGAAAGAUUUUGCACAAAUCCUAGCCAGUUCAGUAUUUUAGGAGUCGAUCCCAUUUUCAAUUUUUGGAGACUAUUAUGUGACUCUUACUACAUACAGGCAUCUCCUUCUCCGAACCAAAGAAGACAAGAAUCCAGUCCGGAUUGGACCAACCCUAGUUCACCACAAAAAAGAACCAUCCAGAUAUUACGAGCUCUCGUCUACCAUGAUAAAGCUAAAUGCAAAAACCCAAAAUGUUCUAGUAUAUGGUACUGACGGAGAAAAGGCAUUGGGUGAGGGUUUCGGUAGACCUCUCCCUUAUGCCCAGCAUUUACUCUGUGACCUGCAUAUGAAAGAAAACAUAGUGUCAAAAAUGAACGAACUUGGAAUACGGGGCAAACCAUCAGAAGUCAUUCUAAGUGACAUCUUCGGAGGAGAUAUUGGUUGUAAGAGGGUUCCUGGUCUUAUAGACUCGGAAAGCCACGCCCAGUUCGUGACCAAUCUGGAAAAAAUGAAGGAGGAGUGGCUUUCCUUACACCCACUCUCAGAGCGCUUUAUUACUUACUUUUGUAAGUACAAAGCGGAAAUUAUAAGGCAAACGAUGACAGCUGAAUUGAGAUCCAUGGCUGGUCUAGGCUGGCCACCAGGUGUAUACGAUCAGAACGGAAAUGAAUGUAUGAACUCGGUUCUACAAAGAGAGAAACAACUUACAAGGAAAAGGAAGCUUUCUAUUCCCGAAUUUGCCAGGUUGCUGCAGACGGUGGUGAAAAGACAGAACAGAAGAGGAUUUAGCAUUUAUUGGCUCGGAGAGCUAAAAAUGGACAAAAAUUACGAGGAAGAGGGAAUGAAGGAAUCUGUCUUUUACAGGAAGGCGAGAGCGCAACAAGAAGCGGCGCUCAAAAAAUUUCACAAUCUCUCAGUAAAGACAGUUGACAUAAUUCCUAUCGACCUGGAAAACACAAAUGAAGCGGACACAAUGUCACCAUUGAGUUUGCCUCUAGAAGAUUUUGGCAUUAUCCGGGUUCCCUUCAGUAUUCUAGCACGUAUGUACCAUCGUGCAUCGUUGAUUUUGGCGCGCAAAGAAGAAAAUAUUCAUCCCGAUCCUGGAAGAGGGGACAAUUUGCCACGUUAUGUGGCAAACGAGGCAAUUGAUGCUCCAUCGUAUGCAGUUUGCAAGAAACGUACCGUGCGACGUGGAACAUAUUAUGUGUGCAGCGGCACUUGUAUCGAUUUUAAAGCGUAUGACAUUUGUGCUCAUACUUUAGCUGUGGCUGAAAUGGGUCGUUCAUUGACUGAGUUCGUUCAUUGUUACAAGACAACGAACCAAAGGCCUCCUAACGUGGAUGCCUUGAUUCACAUGGACCUCCCUCCUGGACGUGGGUCAAAAAAGACCAAGGCAACACAAAGAAGGAAAGGUGCUACAAAUAAAAAAAGAGAGGAAGUUGUGGAGAGUUACACUAACACCUCUCCA